rnacentral:rRNA from 1 species
UACGUAGGGGGGCGAGCGUUUGUCCGGAUUUAUUGGGCGUAAAGAGCUCGUAGGCGGUUUGGUAAGUCGGGUGUGAAAUCUCCACGCUCAACGUGGAGGGGCCACUCGAUACUGCCAUGACUCGAGUCCGGUAGAGGAGUGUGGAAUUCCCGGUGUAGCGGUGAAAUGCGCAGAUAUCGGGAGGAACACCGGUGGCGAAGGCGGGUCUCUGGGCCGAAACUGACGCUGAGGAGCGAAAGCGUGGGGAGCAAACAGG